UGGGGAAUAUUGCACAAUGGAGGGAACUCUGAUGCAGCGACGCCGCGUGAGUGAUGAAGGAAUUCGUUUCGUAAAACUCUGUUCUAUGGGAAGAAAAGGACUGUACCAUAGGAGAAAGCUCCGGCUAAAUACGUGCCAGCAGCCGCGGUAAUACGUAUGGAGCGAGCGUUGUCCGGAAUUAUUGGGCGUGAAGGGUGCGCAGGCGGCUUUACAAGUUGGAUGUGAAAUAGUGUGGCUCAACCACAAACGUGCAUCCAAAACUGCAAAGCUUGAGUUAAGGAGAGGUAAGUGGAAUUCCUGGUGUAGCGGUGGAAUGCGUAGAUAUCAGGAGGAAUACCGGUGGCGAAGGCGACUUACUGGACUUAAACUGACGCUCAGGCACGAAAGCGUGGGGAGCAAACAGG
rnacentral:rRNA from 1 species